rnacentral:lncRNA from 1 species
GUGAUGUCCAUAGAGGAGGUGGAGAGGAUCCUGGACGAGACCCAGGAGGCCGUGGAGUACCAGCGGCAAAUUGAUGAGCUGCUGGCAGGAAGUUUCACCCAGGAGGACGAGGAUGCCAUCCUGGAAGAGCUGAAUGCAAUCACUCAGGAACAAAUCGAGUUACCAGAGGUUCCUUCGGAGCCCCUGCCUGACACAAGCCCAGCCCCUGCCAAGGCCAGAUCCAGGCAGGCAGAGCUGGUGGCCGCUUCGUAACCUCCAGGGACUCAUAGGGAUUCUCCGAGGACUGUCCCACAGAGCCUUUGGCUGCGAGUCAACCCUGAGGGCUCCCAGGAGGCCUGAAGGGCUGGACGGGCCAGUGCAGGUGCCGAUGGCUGGAGCAGCAGCUUACACGGGAGCUGAUGUCAGGGCGCCACGUUGUGCAAUUUAGUCUGGAUGCACCUUCAUCUCUGCUCCUGGACUAAGUGGACACUCGGCCAGCCAGGCGCAGCUUCAGGCCGCUGUGGACCCCACGUUGGCCGCAGCCCACUACUCCUGGUGCUGUUCUCAUGCUGACCCAGCCCGUGUGACCUGCACUCUUCUGUGAGGAAGCACCUCAGACCUCGGGGUCCCUGUGCUCCCUUCUCUUGUAUCUCCUGCUCACAUGAGCUGGUGGGGGCUUCAGUUGAGGAGUUCUUACCUUGCCUGGCAUCCUGAUAUCCCUGUUUCCCUGCAGGCUGGUGACAGAAACCCUAGGAUACUUGUGUUCUCCAAAUCUCUUGGAGCAUCUUUGGCACCUCAG